AUUGAACGCUGGCGGCAGGCCUAACACAUGCAAGUCGAACGAGUGGCGGACGGGUGAGUAAUGUUUGGGAAUCUGGCUGAUGGAGGGGGAUAACGCCUGGAAACGGUAGCUAAUACCGCGUACCAUCGGAUGUGCCCAAUUGGGAUUAGGUAGUUGGUGGGGUAAAGGCCUACCAAGGCGACGAUCUCUAGCUGGUCGGAGAGGAUGACCAGCCACACCGGGACUGAGACACGGCCCUGACUCCUACGGGAGGCAGCAGUGGGGAAUAUUGCGCAAUGGGCGCAACCCUGACGCAGCCAUGCCGCGUGAAUGAAGAAGGCCUUCGGGUUGUAAAGUUCUUUCGGUAUGGAGGCGUUAAACGCAGAAGAAGCACCGGCUAACUCCGUGCCAGCAGCCGCGGUAAUUC
rnacentral:rRNA from 1 species